UUUUACAUAAAAACAUCCUAAUGCAGUGAAGCCUGAGUGCCCUUGGAUGCAUAAGGAAUGGACUCAGUGAGAGAUGAGGAUGCAGAUGAGUGGACGUGAAGUGGCAAGCAGGAUACAGACACAACGCUGAACUGGAAAGGCUGAAGUGAGCAUUCAUCCCAUAUUAAUGCUCAUCUUCCUGCCAGCUUUGCACUCAUCACUGUGUGCAUUGAAAGGCUGUGAGUUACAGUGAACAGGGCUGAAAGAUAACCUUACAAAAGAUGGGAUGGGAGAUGUGGAACCCUGUGCCUUUGGAGCCAGUCAUAUAAAGAAACAUAGGAGGCCUGGGGUGGUAGCAGAGAAAAACUGAUUAUCUGUGACAGUCAGUGAUUUACAGCGGACAUCAGUAUAAAAACCACUUUUCCCAUCCCUUGUUACAUGGCCCUGUAGGCAUCUCUCUUCCUUAGUCUCAGAAGAGAAAUCUGCAGAUUUUCUCUGUACCUUCACAGGUAUUCUGCCUCUGUUUGGAAGAAAAAAAAUUUAGAACCAGAAACAUUCUGUUGUGAGCUAAAUCCACAUGCAAAUACUAAAAUUUGUAUUCUGUGGGCAGUUAAAUGAAUUUCUGAGGUCUGCAAGCUUAGAAGACUGAAAAAUUGCCAGAAGCCUGGCAAGGUGACAUAGUCAUCCUUCUGCAAUUACUGUGAUAUAACACAACCUAAGUUUUCUUGAGGAAAAAACAAUCCAUACUGAGUUUGUGCAAUAAGCCUCUGUCAAGCACUUCCAUUUUCAGGAAUCCACAGUGUAGACAAUGCUUUGAAGUCAAAGGUUAACAGUGGGGCUUAUGGAACACAAAACCAUACAUGAACCAAUUCCAGUCGACCAAAAGCAACCUAUAGUUCAACACUUGGAAUUCACAGUUUUCUUUUCCAGUAAGACUUGUAAAGUCCAGGUAGGUCUUUAAAAAUAUAGAAGCAUAUGACACAUGUUUAUGUCUACAUAGACCCAAGAGUGAAAUCUGAAAGAAGAGAAACCUAGCAGACAAAAUUUAAGCUUAUUUUCUUGGCAAAUGUAGGCAUUUUACUUUUAAGAUAACUAUAACAUUCCUUAGUUAAUGUGGGGUGGUGGCUUUAAGGGUUCAUGCAUUGAAGGCUUGGCAUUGACAUUCAUAAUUUGGUUUAUACAGUGAAAAAUAUAUUGUGUAAAUUGGUUGAUUUUCUCCUUUUUUUUCCUCCUGCUACAAUAAAAAGCACAUUUUUAUUAAUAAAAAAAUCCUAAAUUUAACUUUAUGGGGGGAAAAAAAGUAGGAGAACUAGUCUGGAUUGUUGAUACUAGUUUGUAAGAGAAAAAUGUACUGAUAUCCUUGCUAUAUGCCAUAAAAAUGGUACAAAGAUCAGGAAAAUUCCUUAUAUUUUUCACUGAGUAAAGGAAGUUUUGAUUAUACAGAUCAUACAGAGAACUGUCCCCAUCAAUUCCCUUUUUCAUAGGCCAUACAAGAAAUCCGGGCCUGGUAGGAAUACAGGUAUGAAUGCUGAAUAUUUUGCUGGUGAUUAACUAUCACACUAAUAAAGGAAAAUCUAAAAACAUUUCAAGAAAACAAAUUCUUGAAGAAGAACAUGCACAGAACUACUACUAAUGUAGAAGAACUACAUAUAACAAAUCUCUUUAAUAAGGUUCAAAAAAUCUCCUUUCAGUAGCCACAUUACUGGAGGAAGGAUAUGAUCUGAGGAAUUUAACCAUUUAUCUCUGUUUCCCCCCCGAAAUAACAGAAAUCUGUGCAACUAGUCAAAUCUUGUAUCCUUGCAGCCUUGGUAAAGGCAGUUAUAAAAUAUUGCCACAAAUGCCUUUGUCCACAACUUGCUAACAUGCAACACUUCAUCUAUAAUCUUCAGAAGGCAAAGCUGACUUUCCUGGUACAUGGAAGUUGCUUGUGAACUCCAACCCUUCCUUCCUCUUGCCAGUGUUUUUUGCAUUAAGGUACAGCCCUGAGAAAUCACAUUUGGCAGCUUUCCUUGAAAUGCUUGGAGUCAAGUGGCUACAAAGGAUCUCUUCAAUUUAACAAGUAUUAUCCCACUCAAACAGUGGGAAGUGUUGGAGGUGAACCAUGCAGUUAAGAAAGCAGGAAAUGCAUUAAAGUAAACAAAUAAAUAACACUUUUUGCUCUCACCAGUAAUACUGGCUUCUGAAUGCCUGAUAGGACACCAUAAAGCAGUCUUUGUUCACAUCUGAGCAGAAACUGCUACUCCUGAACUAUUUCACACUGUUAGUACAGGAGAACAAUGCAAAAAGACUCACUCAUGCCAAAUAAACACACAAAAACCCCCAUGCUCAGACAGUGGAUUUGUCACAGGAAUGGUUAGGAAAAAAAGCAGGCAGGAAAUACAUUCCAAGAAAAGCCAACAAGGAUUUUCAACACUGCUUCUUCCCUGAGCACUGCAGCAUUAAAACAGGCUUGCACUUGGAAAUGAGAAUUUAAAAGCUCCUGGGGUUACUAUGUAAUGUUUAGAUUUGUUUUAAUGAUUGACAGAACAGAUUGAAAUUGGGAAGAUGUUCCUUUCAUGGCAGUAUUACCUCAUUUCAUAUUCAACAGACAGCAGUGAGAAUACUUACUAAAACAAUACAAAAAGGUAAGGUGACUUUCUUGUCCAGAACUGAAAACAGAAAAGUGAAAAUGAAAGUAAAGAAACAAGAUAAAACUUAAUGGAAACAUGGUUAUGGCUUUGUCUAAUUUGCAACUUUCAUCAAAUCCUGAAAUAUUUGUUAAAACUGUGAAAGACAGAUCAAGACACAGUAAAAUCAAUUACAGAAAUUCAUCAAUCUGUGCCAUUCAAGCAUGAUGCUGCAAGGGGUGUAUUUAUAUACCAUGACAGUACACACAUGAUAAUUUUUCUAAAUCAGUUACAUUUAAGCAUAUUUGAGUCAAACAUGUAGCCUCACAUCUUUAAUGCUCACCAAGAUGGCUUUGAGUAUUCCCAUUAGAGAUAAUUAUAAAAUUUUGUCUGUUGAGCAUACAAUGUAUAAAAAUAGAUACACUAACUGGAAACAAUUCUAAUUUUUAUUCUGUUCAAUUCUUUUGGUUUACAUUUGCUAUGCUCCAAAUGGUCAACAUUUUUUUUCAUUAAUUAAUUCAAUCAGUCUUGCUUUUGUUUUCUGUUUUAACUAAACAAAGUCUGAAAAGUUUCCAUUGUUGCUGUUGCUGUGUUUCCAAAACAUCCUGUGGUAUGUCCAAUUUGCUACAUAUUUGGCUAUUUUUCGUGCACUUUCUGUCAGUGUUCAGUCUGUUAGCAUGCAGUGUUCUUUCUGGCAUCAAAUGUCUGAAUUUCCUUCCUAGAUUCUCUGGUAUUGGUUCACAGCAUACUUAUUUUGAUCAUGAGACAAACAUUAAUAUUAAAUGUGUAUAUUACACAUACCAUAUUAAGCUUGCAGAAAAGUCUGGGAUAAAUAUGUUUCAGAAAUGUUUACUUUCUUUAACUACCUAAUUUAUUUAAAAAAUGCAUUUCUUUGGCUUUGUUUGUACCUAUUUGGUGUACAUGUUCCAUAAAUACUUUUGUAAUGCUCUUAACUGAGUAGUUACAACUGCUAAUUUUGAUUAGAUGCUCUUUUAGUAGCAGGAAAUAUAGUUCAUCAUUCAUAUGCCAUCAUUAAUCCACACUUAAUUUGCCACUGUUGCUAGCUUAUGAUCCUGGAGGAUAUCUUCCACUUAUGUGUACCACAAUGCAGUGCCUUGUGACCUAGACUGGAUCAAAGUCAUAAGGGUCAAGUUAUUCCCUGAAGAAAUUAGUGUAUCCUUCAAGACAACAAGUAUGAGUGAUAAAUAGGAUCUGUUAGUACAAUUCACAUCAGGGAGGAAUCACAGUGAAGAAAGAGACAGGAUCAGGCAACCUGGGAAUAAGAUGUAUUGCAAUGCUCAAUGACAAGCCUGUGAUUUCACUGUUCAACAGAAGAACUCCAGUUCAAUAAAAAAAGGUUCAGAACAACCUGGAACAGCACAGCCCCACCAUACUGCAAAGCACAGUGACACUUCUAAAAGAGAAAGGAAAUCCUGCACCCAUUUCCUGCAGAAAGCAGUUCCCUAAGUGACCACACCAUUGCAUUAACAAGGCUGCUCUCUGUCAGGACUGGACAUACCAGGUACAAAUCAGGCUGACUUCCACAAAGAGAAUUACCCAGCCUUUGGUGGCAGCAUGUCCCAGGCACCAAUUACACAGAAGAGAUAUGCAGGAGCAAUGCUUGACCCUCAAGAACUGUGUGAGCUAUUCACUGCUACCCUUAGACAGCAAGGGAAAACCCAGCCCAAAGUGCUUGAAGGCAUAACACAAGCAGUGGGUGGGAGGAGUAAUAAAACUUUUUCCUUCUUCCUUGUUUAUCCUGUCAAGAAACCCCAGAUAAUGCUCAGAGCACACACGUGCUUCUCCCCUGGGCUACAGAGGAGUGGAACCAUAUCAGGGCAGCACUGCACCACAGACUGGUGAUGCUGCAGAGCAUAGAAUGAAUUUGGGGAUAUCCCAGACUAACAGGCUUAUGUGGCCUCUGGGACACAAGGUAAUAAGAUAGCAGCUCUACCUGAUGUAAAGUGAAUCUGUCUUCACUCUCCUGAGAUGGAGACUCAAAAUGUGAAGCUGGUCUCAAAUCUUAACUGGCUAAAAAGCACUGAAUUAAGCUGACAUGAACUUUUGAUUACAAACUGAUAAAGAAACUGAAUGCUUACUGUGAACUGUAAUAUUCUCUUGCAUGUAUUCAGAUUUGUUUUGACAUCUGUUUUUUAUGGGGAAACAUGACAUUGCUUACCAUAUCAUACACUUCUGUUUCAUUCAAAGAACUGUAAAACACUAAUGCACAAAAACGUGGAUGUUCCCAGGUUUACUCUUCCAAAAUCUUAGGCACAGUUCACCAAAGACAAGUAAAUUAGCAACGUAUGAGGCUGUAAUAUUUCAGUAAACCAGAAGUAAACGAAUAAUUGUGAUACCUUUCACACUUUAUUAAUUUCUGUUGUUGCUAAAUCAUAACAAACAGGAUGUUUAUUAAAUUAUCCCUGAAGACAGACAACAUGAAAUAGUAUUUUAAUUUUCCACUUAGAUUCUACCUCCAAUUACAUAAUUUUCAAGUCCUGCUGUAAAAUAUUUUCAUAAAAUCACCUUUAAAAAUGUUUUCUAUAGAAAACCAUGCUUAAAACACAUCCUAAAUGGAAUUAUAAAAACAAAUCAAAAUUUUUGUCUGACAGUCAACAUUUAUAGGUUCUAUUGAAUGCCUGGGCUGUGCAAAAAGUGUUAUUAAUUAACAUUCCUAUCUUUAACACAUGGUUCAUGAAUGAGGGAUGUGCUGCCUACAAAGGGCUGGUAGACGUGGCUAACUAGUGAAACCCACCGCUCAGAUAAAUUCAAUUUCUUGUUUUACAAUAUUUUAUAGAAUUUCUGCAUAGACAGAAGGGAAACACAGGGGAAAAUGAAAAGUGAAUACAAAGUAAAAUCUUGCUAUGAAAAUAUUCUGUUAAAGUACUGUGACAAGUGUUGCCUUUUUUAAGAAUUAAGGCUAAAUCUUACUUUUCUUGUUCAUAGGAUCAGUUAAAUGGUGUUCAUGAGAAUUAUACCAUUGGAUUCAAUCAAAGUACAGGCUGUGACACUUCAGUUGUUCUUAGGAACAAAAAGUGCUAUUUAACUCUGUUACUGUAGUCAGUGCCCUCAUUGUUAAGGACUAGUGAGAGAAGAGAAAAUCCUGAGAGUUUUGAUGCAUUGAAACAUUAUCUGAAAUUUAAAAAAAAACCAACAAAAAGCCAUUUAAACCUUCUCUUAGUAUAUGUCAGGAAGAUUUCAAUGAUGGACCAGUAUUCACAAUAAUUUCUAUACUGUUCAACUUCAAUAUGUCUGAAUAAAGGAAGCGCACAAGAUCUCUUCACCUUCAGAAAUGUAAAUUUGGAACUGUCCUUGUACAAAAGGUAUUUGAUCAUCCACACUGUUUGUCUUCAGCAGAUGCUUUUGUAUCCAAGCCUGCUCCCAUGGUAAUCAACAGAAAUUAGCCACUGACUCAAAAGACAAUGCAGUUCUUCACUACACUGUUGGACAGACAUCUUUUACUUAAAUCAAGAAUUUGUCUAGACCUUGACCUUAAUGAUAUGCAUUUUUACUAUGUGACUCUCUACCAUUAUUUGUAUUCUCAAAUUAAAAUUUCUGUGAAAUGAAAGCAUUUUUGUAUUAGCUAAUGAUAAUCUGUCAAUAAACACUGGAGACGUUAAAAUUG